AUCAACAGAACGGUUUAAACAGAAGAAAAUACGCCUUCUGAAGUGGCCCAAUCAGAGUCCUGACCUCAACCCGAUUGAGAUGCUGUGGCAUGACCCUUAAGAAAGUGAUUCACACCAGACAUCCCAAGAAUAUUGCUGAACUGAAACUGUUCUGUAAAGAGGAAUGGUCAAGAAUUACUCCUGACCGUUGUGCACGUCUGAUCUGCAACUACAGGAAACGUUUGGUUGAAGUUAUUGCUGCCAAAGGAGGUUCAACCAGUUAUUAAAUCCA